rnacentral:tRNA from 1 species
UUCUUAGCUCAGCUGGUCAGAGCGCUCGGCUCAUAACCGAUUGGUCGUAGGUUCAAGUCCUACAGAAUC